GGCAAUCUAACAAGACCGCCGGUGAUAAAACGGAGGAAGGUGUGGAUGACGUCAAGUCAUCAUGCCCCUUACAUCCUGGGCUACACACGUACUACAAUGCUACGGACAAAGGGCCGCAAGCUCGCGAGAGUUAGCAAAUCCCAUAAACCGUGGCUCAGUUAGAUCGUAGGCUGCAACUCGCCUACGUGAAGGAGGAAUCGCUAGUAAUCGCAGGUCAGCAUACUGCGGUGAAUACGUUCCCGGGCCUUGUACACACCGCCCGUCACACCAUGGAAGUUGGCCACGCCCGAAGUCGUUACUCCAACCCUUGUGGAGGAGGACGCCGAAGGUGGGGCUGAUGACUGGGGUGAAGUCGUAACAAGGUAGCCGUACCGGAAGGUGCGGCUGGAUCACCUCCUAACAGGGAGACUAACUGAUCGUGAUGUCUGAGCGCCAAGUCAAAGUCUGUAACAGGAUGUUGAUGAAGCACCUCAUGUCUUAGGCCACGGUCCUGUCAUCUCGAAGGUCGAUCGGUACCUCAAUGGAAGGGUUGAAAGCAUUUUUAGCGUAAGCUAGGGAUGAGCUGUUCAACCAUUCUUUUCAGUUCCUAAACUUUGUCUAGGUCACCCCACAGCGGGUAAGAGUUCUCCUGGGCCAUUAGCUCAGGGGUUAG
rnacentral:sRNA from 1 species